rnacentral:rRNA from 1 species
GAUGAACGCUGGCGGCGUGCUUAACACAUGCAAGUCGAACGGAAAGGCCCAAGCUUGCUUGGGUACUCGAGUGGCGAACGGGUGAGUAACACGUGGGUGAUCUGCCCUGCACUUCGGGAUAAGCCUGGGAAACUGGGUCUAAUACCGGAUAGGACCACAUUUUGGAUGGUGUGGUGGAAAGUUUUUCGGUGUGGGAUGAGCUCGCGGCCUAUCAGCUUGUUGGGGGGGUAAUGGCCUACCAAGGCGUCGACGGGUAGCCGGCCUGAGAGGGUGUACGGCCACAUUGGGACUGAGAUACGGCCCAGACUCCUACGGGAGGCAGCAGUGGGGAAUAUUGCACAAUGGGCGCAAGCCUGAUGCAGCGACGCCGCGUGGGGGAUGACGGCCUUCGGGUUGUAAACUCCUUUCGCUAGGGACGAAGCGCAAGUGACGGUACCUGGAGAAGAAGCACCGGCUAACUACGUG